rnacentral:sRNA from 1 species
AUCCCAUGUUGUAUAAAAUUAUUUUGAUAAAAUGAAAUAUAUCAGAAAGGACACUUGCCAUUUGCAGCAUGCACUUUAUUUUGUGCCUAGCUGCUCCGCUUUGAUAGGAUAGAACAUUUUUUUUACUAUAUGAAUCUCUCAUUUUGUUUCUUAGCAUAGCAUACUCUAUAAAAUGACACAAGUUAGCAUGAUAGGCGAUCCAUUUCAAUGGAAUAGAGUGGUGCUUGUAUUUAUGUGCUGAUGUUUUUUUUUUUAUUUUGUUUUUUAUUCAUGACUAUUAGAUUUAUUUAAUGAUGUUUUUUCAAGUCUUCAAAGGUGCUAGAAUAAAUAAAAUGUAGAUUUGAAUGUUAUUAGAAAUGUAUUAUUUGGAAAAGGAAAAACAAAAUAAAUAUGGUAGUUGUU